rnacentral:rRNA from 1 species
UGGGGAAUAUUGCACAAUGGAGGGAACUCUGAUGCAGCGACGCCGCGUGAGUGAUGAAGGAAUUCGUUUCGUAAAACUCUGUUCUAUGGGAAGAAAAGGACUGUACCAUAGGAGGAAGCUCCGGCUAAAUACGUGCCAGCAGCCGCGGUAAUACGUAUGGAGCGAGCGUUGUCCGGAAUUAUUGGGCGUAAAGGGUGCGCAGGCGGCUUUACAAGUUGGAUGUGAAAUAUUGUGGCUCAACCACAAACGUGCAUCCAAAACUGCAAAGCUUGAGUUAAGGAGAGGUAAGUGGAAUUCCUGGUGUAGCGGUGGAAUGCGUAGAUAUCAGGAGGAAUACCGGUGGCGAAGGCGACUUACUGGACUUAAACUGACGCUCAGGCACGAAAGCGUGGGGAGCAAACAGG